UUCCUACGGGACGCAGCAGUGGGGGAUAUUGCACAAUGGGGGGAACCCUGAUGCAGCGACGCCGCGUGGGUGAAGAAGCGCCUCGGCGCGUAAAGCCCUGUCAGCAGGGAAGAAAAUGACGGUACCUGAAGAAGAAGCCCCGGCUAACUACGUGCCAGCAGCCGCGGUAAUACGUAGGGGGCAAGCGUUAUCCGGAUUUACUGGGUGUAAAGGGGGCGCAGACGGCGAUGCAAGCCAGGAGUGAAAGCCCGGGGCCCAACCCCGGGACUGCAUUGGGAACUGCCCCGCUCGAGUGCCGGAGGGGG
rnacentral:rRNA from 1 species